rnacentral:rRNA from 1 species
GAUGAACGCUGGCGGCGUGCCUAAUACAUGCAAGUCGAGCGAACGGACGAGAAGCUUGCUUCUCUGAUGUUAGCGGCGGACGGGUGAGUAACACGUGGAUAACCUACCUAUAAGACUGGGAUAACUUCGGGAAACCGGAGCUAAUACUGGAUAAUAUUUUGAACCGCAUGGUUCAAAAGUGAAAGACGGUCUUGCUGUCACUUAUAGAUGGAUCCGCGCUGCAUUAGCUAGUUGGUAAGGUAACGGCUUACCAAGGCAACGAUGCAUAGCCUACCUGAGAGGGUGAUCGGCCACACUGGAACUGAGACACGGUCCAGACUCCUACGGGAGGCAGCAGUAGGGAAUCUUCCGCAAUGGGCGAAAGCCUGACGGAGCAACGCCGCGUGAGUGAUGAAGGUCUUCGGAUCGUAAAACUCUGUUAUUAGGGAAGAACAUAUGUGUAAGUAACUGUGCACAUCUUGACGGUACCUAAUCAGAAAGCCACGGCUAACUACGUG